rnacentral:rRNA from 1 species
CCCUUAGAUGUUCUGGGCCGCACGCGCGCUACACUGAUGCAUUCAACGAGUCUAAAACCUGCUCUGAUAGGGGUGGGUAAUCUUUUGAAUGUGCAUCGUGAUUGGGAUAGAUGAUUGCAAUUUUUCAUCUUCAGCGAGGAAUGCCUAGUAAACGCAAGUCAUCAGCUUGCAUUGAUUACGUCCCUGCCCUUUGUACACACCGCCCGUCGCUCCUACCGAUUGAAUGAUCCGAUGAAUAUCAUGGAUUGAGGAUUAUAGCAGGUUCGCCUGUCUUGAUCUUCGAGAAGUGAAGUAAAUCUUAUCAUUUAGAGGAAGGAGAAGUCGUAACA